rnacentral:rRNA from 1 species
UACGGAGGGUGCGAGCGUUGUCCGGAAUCAUUGGGCGUAAAGGGCGCGUAGGUGGCGGGACAAGCGUGCGGUGAAAGCCUGGGGCUCAACCCCGGGUCGGCCGUGCGAACUGUUUUGCUUGAGCACUGUAGAGGCAGGCGGAAUUCCCGGUGUAGCGGUGAAAUGCGUAGAGAUCGGGAGGAACACCAGUGGCGAAGGCGGCCAUCUGGAUCAACACUGACGCUGAGGCACGAAAGCGUGGGGAGCAAACAGG